CCCUCAGGCGGCCUGUUCCACGCCAGGAUUAGUUUUGCUUCGCAGAUGGGCCGUGGUGGUGAGAGGAAGCAAUCAGUAUGGAAAUGGAGAAAUGGCUUACCAUGCAUGUCCUUCUCCCCAGGAGGGAGGUCGUGGUGCAGGCGAGCAGACGCCAGACUCCUGGACACUUGCCGCCUGCGUUAUGGAGGCUUAGCUAAUAACCUUGCAGGGGUCUUCAGGCUUUUCCACUGGCUCACCUUUAGGCUUCUGACACUUUUACCUACGAUUGAAAAAAGACGAGAUUCCAUGAGACUAGAAAUGUAGGAGCAUCUCAGACCUUCACAGAACGCUCUGUUAGAAGAUGAGAAACAUAACGUUGCUUGUGAGAGAACAGGUUCAAAGAGACUCCAGUGCUGCCACAUGAUCAAAGAAUUAUGGACAAAAAAAGCAAAUAAAUUACAGGAAAAGAAAAUGAGGUACAGAAACAGCUGGAUUGGUUACAGCUUGGUGUUUACCUUACUUGAACAAGGUUCGAACAGUUGGCUGCCUUUGAUGGGCUG
rnacentral:lncRNA from 1 species